rnacentral:rRNA from 1 species
UACGUAGGGUGCAAGCGUUGUCCGGAAUCAUUGGGCGUAAAGCGCGCGUAGGCGGCCCGAUAAGUCCGCUGUAAAAGUCAACGGCUCAACUGUUGAAAGCCGGUGGAUACUGUCGGGCUAGAGUACGGAAGAGGCAAGUGGAAUUCCCGGUGUAGCGGUGAAAUGCGUAGAUAUCUGGAGGAACACCGGUGGCGAAGGCGGCAUCCUGGACCGGCAUUGACGCUGAGGCGCGAAAGCCAGGGGAGCAAACGGG